GGGCACUUGUCGCAUUGAUGGCAUAGAGAAGGUUGGGUAUGGAGGACACAGAAGAAGAAUAAUGAGCGUCUCAGCCUUUCUAUAAUACAGCCUGAGAUCUCAGUCAUUCUUUUGGACAGUUGACAGCUCACAGCUUUUACAAUCAGACCAAACAACCACUUGCACAGCUUUCGUCAGCAGCACAUCUGCGUCUAAGGGUCACUAAUGACCUCUUGAUACAUGCCAGAGCUGAUGGAAGAGGCUGCAGACACCUUGCCAAAAAUGAUGCCGGAAGCAUUGCAAUUCUUAACAACAGAUGGUGUUACCCCCAAUAUGUUACCAUGGGAUGGCUGCAGCUCCAUGAUAGAGUGGUUGUCUGAUGCUUCGAGGAUUGAAGGGAGUUCAGCGAACACACAAGCGGGAUCACAAAUUAUUAAACAACAGCCUGAACAUCACAACACUUCGAUAGACGAGGAGUGCAGAUCAACAAAGAGGAGGAUUACGUAACUUGCACGGGGAUUAAAGAUGUGGUAAAGCAGACAGGUGCUCUGAAGUUGAAGUUUUAAUUUUCAGAUUGUUUAUAUGUCAUGUAUUUAUUUAUUUUUUUUGUAAAAAGAAAAGUACGAGUGUAAGUAUAAGUGUUCGUGAAUAUACUGACUGACAGUACAUUAGUGGGAGGCUUUAAAUUUUAAACCCAGCCAGAAUCCUCCCAGGCAAUUAAAGGUUGUGUUCAGAGCCAAGAAGUCCAAAUAAAAUAACACACAUACAUUCAGAAACAGGGCAGAUGCAUGCUUGCGCACACACACACACAGGCACGCACACACCCCGAGGAUGAGGUGAAGGUGGCAAAACCCUUCAUAUCGCAGUGUGACUGUGCCUCUGUCUCUGUUCAUGUAUCGAUAGACACACCAUGCCCACACGCCCCCCCACACACAUACACACACUCCAGUGUUUGGCUCACAGUGGAAACACGCUACAACACACAUCCUCAUGGACUCAAUAAAUCACAGCUCUGGCUCUCUAUGUCCAAUUACUGUAAGUACCUGCAGGAAAUAUGUGCUGGACAACUUUGACAGUGUGCUACUGCUUCCUUGAAAACAAAAGUUGCGCGAGAAAGUUGUAAAAUGCGUGUGAUAAAUUCAGCUGGCAUUUGGUAAAAUGUU